rnacentral:lncRNA from 1 species
GUCUCAGGUGGGUUAGCCUCAGGGGCUGCACCAGGUUCCAUUGUCGGUUUUGGCUUGGCUUCUAUAAUUGGAUGCUCUUCCUUAUGCCAACAGCUUUAUAAAGUGCACUGGGUCCUUUUUAUUGAUACCAUCACCAGUGCUUUAUAUGUGGCACUAGCACCCACACCAUUGCAUUUUUACAUGUCACCUUGGUUUUAGGAUCUCAAUUCUAUUGUGGUGGGCAUGUCUUGAGUACAGCAAUGUAUCAAAUAUUUCGUUCCUCUGUCAUCUCCU